CUGAAAUGAUGUUUUUGGGGUUAAAACCUUCUGGGAAUUGAAUCCCACCUACACUUUCUCAAUAGCACCCAAAUAUUAAAGAAAAAUUCCUUGGCUCUAACUCCAAAUACGGACAAUUUUAUGUUAAGGGGGUCCUGAAAUCUUUCGAAAGCUUCCGAUGUGCUAUCUUUUAACCUUUUCUAAUUAACCGGACCAAAUCACUACUUUACUUUAAAAUUCAU
rnacentral:lncRNA from 1 species